CCUUUAUAGUGCCACGAAAAGGAAGUGGCGUAGCUGGAGCGUGAUGGCCGACUCCAGCCAAUCCGAAUAUCGCACCAUUGUGACGCAAGCCGGGUUGCUUGUGUCGAGGGAGGGAGGGAGGGAACAGAGGGUGCGCGUGUGAAAGCUCCGCCCCCAGCCCUAGCUCCUCCUUCCCGCUUCAGCAGGUCCAGGCUCUGCGCCAGUGCAUCCUUCUCCAAGAGUGCGCUGCCUGGGCCCGCUUGCCCUGGAGUGGGCUGUGUCUACUCUUCACGCCGCCUUCUCAGAUCGGGCUGCAUGUCCCCACUCCGUGUUUACAUCUCGUUCCCGCUCCGGGUCUCGGUGACUGGCUCCUCAAGCCGGAGACGCGUGUGGUGCGGCGCGAUGCGGGCGCCAGCGCUGUGUGUGCUGGCGGAACUUCAGCAGUCAACGGAGAGAAGAGUGGAAACCUUACUGGAUGCGGACAGGAGAGCCAGUUACUGAAAGCAGAUAUAACGCGGAUCCUGUAAAGAGUGGAAGGAGAAGACCACUUUUAGUUGCCUCCCUGCUAGCACCCUGACUUGCUCUGCUUGAAUAAGAAUCCAAGGACACAAGCUAAGACAUUUGCACUGGGUUUAGAUCUACUGCGAUUCACAAAACACAAAAGAACUUUCAGUCAGAGGGUGACACAUAAUGAUUUUAGACAAAACUCAGUUUCUUCUGGUGGAAGCUAUUCAGAUUGUUUGGAGAGUGGGAGGAAAAAGGAGUGAAGCAUCGCUUAACAACAAAAGUAAUAAUGCAGGCAGAAUAUUAAAUGGAGAAGCCAGACUUUCAACACAUAGAAAAGAAAGCUAGUUCAGAAUGUUGAGAGACUUGGGAGCUGAUUGAUUGAAGGUGGCACUUAGAAGGUUGCCCUUUUUAAAGAUAAAGGCUGAUACUGUGACUCUGUCCCAGGGGACCUGAGUAAAGAACUCCUCAGAGAUGUGGGACCACUAUUCAGAACAAGAUUUGGAGAGCUGGGGCAGAGAAGAUUUUACCUUGGGGAUUUCUUCAGCUGCGAGUAGUAAAUUGGUUAUGCCUUAAUGAAUGAAGUUUGUCAAAUUUUAAGAUAGGAUGUUAUUACGCCUUUUAAAAGAAUGAGGUAGAGUAUAACAUCUGAUUUGGAGUUCUUUCCAGCAUUUUAAGGUCUUUAAAGAAAACAAAUUGGAGAAAAAUAAAUAAAUAUAGAUCAUGCUGUACAUAGAUUGACAGACAAACCCCUAAAAUGAGAAGGAUCAGUGCGUCUGUCUGUAGAGAGUGACAGCGUUGAAGCAAGACAUUCAGAAGCCAGCCUGACACAAAGGGGACAAGAACAACUGCCACCCCAGCCCCCAUCUCAUUCCAACCCAAGAGACGGAUUGUAUAUUUCCACAUAUGCUGGACAAUAGGCAGAAAGUGGAGACCCAAAGAACUUGUGAUAUGACGGACAUAAGAAGCUUCAGUUGGCCUCAAAUGUCAAAUAAUAUCCUUCCUGAAUAAUCAAGAAUGUCAAGCUUUUACUUUCUACAUCUUGGACUGUACUUUGUACCAAUCUCAAGUCCCAUAUGAUGCACUUUCUAGGUGAAAAGUUUUUUUUUACAGACCUUAAAUUUUUCUUUAUUUACUUUUUAGAGUGAUGGUAUAUAUUAGUUUCACCACGUUAGUAAUUCAUGCUAUAUAAAUGAUAAGCCAAAGUAAGAAAAAUAGUGAAAUGAAUUGCAAAUCUAACUACAUUUUUUAGUUUCCAUAAUCACCACAGAAAUUGCUGUUAGUGCACUUGAUCCAAGAAGAGUCAUUCACAAUCUCUCCCUUGCAUGUUUCCCACCUGGAUACAGAUUCGUUUAGAGGUCAGCCUCUGACACAAGAUCAGUCAAUCCAAUGCCUGCCAUUAUAGUUUUGGAAAGGUGCCUAAAAAGACAUUAAUUUUCCUCCAAAUGACAGAAACUAAAGGCAGGUGAAUGCGGCAGCUAUUGGUGUACUUGGAUGCUGAGGAUCAGGCAGAGUGGCUUGGUAAUGAGAGAGAUGAAUGAGACAGACACCCAGAGAGAAAGGAAAUUAAGGAGCAGUAAAAGCAUUUUACACCCCUCCCUCCACUCUGCCAACCCUCAGGGCUCAUACACUUUUGCUAACUAUAUCACUUAUGUGCUGUUGUAUACCAAAUUACCUCAAAACUAAGUGGCUUAACACAACAGCAUGUAUUAUCCCACAAUUUCUGUGGGCUGAGAAUCUAGACAGGGAGUAGUUGGAUCCCCUGUGUCAGAGUCUUCCACGAGUUUGCAGUCAAAGUCCUGACUGAGGUUGUGGUUUCAUCUGAAAUUUCAAAUGGGGAAGGAUCCUUUCCCAAGUUCACUCAUAUGGCUGCAGUAGGAUUCAGUUUCCUGCAGACUGUUACACUAAUAGCCUCAGUUUCUCACCACCUGUUGGCCAGAGGCUGCACUCAGUUUCUUGUCACAUAAGCUUCUCAGCUCACAGCAUGGCAUCUGCCUUUGUCAGAGUGAAAAGAGAAAAAGCCACCAAGAAGGAAGUCAUGGUCUAAUCUUGGAGGAGAAUCUUAUGACUUUUGCUGCUCUCUUCUUGUUAGAAGCCACUACAUCCAGCCUCUACUCAUGGGAAGGAAAUGACACAAGGUGUGGGUAUCAGGAGGCAGAAAUCUUUGAGAGCUGUUUUAAAAGCAACCUAACACACUGACAUAUUUCAGUCCUUAGGCACUGUAAAAUAGCCCAAAUAUCCCUGCAGUACAUCUGAAUGCUUGCCUAAAUUCUCCAAAAUUCUUUUCUAUUAUUUACAAUCAAAACUUCUUACAUAUAUCGAAUAGUUUAAUUAAAUCCAAAUUUAGAAUCAAGAGGCAAUUGUAUUAUGAGAAAAUAUAUUACUACAUUUCUAAGUUCCUUUGUCACACAUACACAAACACAACUAACAGAGUAUUUAAUAGUGAUAAAGGCUGAGAUAUGAGAAAACAAAAUACUAGGAAUUCUUACUACUAGGAAAAUAAAUCCUAUGAAGAUGAAAAUUGCUGAAAUUUUCAAGUAGAUAGUGAUUUAGAUGCUAACAUUGAAGAUGCACAACCAUGAGGAUGUAGGAGACUGGAUCCCUGAAUCACUGCUUGGAUGAUAGCAGCAAGCUUCUUUGGCGUUAAACAACUUAGAUAUUCUGAUAAAGCAUCUACUGUUGCCUUAAUUAAGGAGAGAUGGAUAAUAUUUUCUUGGAUGAAAGUGAUAGAGGUGAGGAUGAAGAGAAGUGGUCAGAUUCUACA
rnacentral:lncRNA from 1 species